ACGGGUGAGUAACACGUAGGUAAUCUACCUUUGGAUGGGGAAUAACAACCGGAAACGGUUGCUAAUACCGCAUAAUGCAGCGGCACCUAAUGGUGACAGUUGUUAAAGCGGGGGAUCGAAAGACCUCGCGUCUGAAGAGGAGCCUGCGGCGGAUUAGCUAGUUGGUAAGGUAACGGCUUACCAAGGCAACGAUCCGUAGCCGGCCUGAGAGGGCGGUCGGCCACACUGACACUGACAUACGGGUCAGACUCCUACGGGAGGCAGCAGUCGGGAAUUUUGGGCGAUGGGCGAAAGCCUGACCCAGCAACGCCGCGUGAAGGAUGAAAUCCUUCGGGAUGUAAACUUCGCAAGAACGGGAAGAAUAAGUCUGCGCAAAUAUCGCAGGCGAUGACGGUACCGUUUGUAAGCUCCGGCUAACUCCGUGCCAGCAGCCGCGGUAAUACGGGGGGAGCAAGCGUUGUUCGGAUUUACUGGGCGUAAAGGGCGCGUAGGCGGCCACUGCAAGUCAAUUGUGAAAUCUCCGGGCUUAACUCGGAAAGGUCAACUGAUACUGCAGGGCUAGAGUGCGGAAGGGGCAACUGGAAUUC
rnacentral:rRNA from 1 species